rnacentral:rRNA from 1 species
UACAGAGGUCUCAAGCGUUGUUCGGAUUCAUUGGGCGUAAAGGGCGCGUAGGCGGCGUAUUAAGUCAGCUGUGAAAUCUCCAAGCUUAACUUGGAACGGUCAGCUGAUACUGAUGUGCUAGAGUGCAGAAGGGGCAAUCGGAAUUCUUGGUGUAGCGGUGAAAUGCGUAGAUAUCAAGAGGAACACCUGAGGUGAAGACGGGUUGCUGGGCUGACACUGACGCUGAAGCGCGAAAGCUAGGGUAGCAAACGGG